rnacentral:rRNA from 1 species
CGGUGUAGAAAAACUCUGGUGUAUACGAUGGUUCCGCGUCUGAUUAGCUAGUUGGUGGGUAAUGGCCUACCAAGGCAACGAUCAGUAGCCGGCCUGAGAGGGUGAACGGCCACAUUGGGACUGAGACACGGCCCAAACUCCUACGGGAGGCAGCAG